rnacentral:lncRNA from 1 species
AUAUAUGAGGAGUAGUCUAUUUUCUAAUCGCUGUGUUAUUUAUCCCUUGAACUUAUAAUUCACUAUCAUUAUCUUUAUGGUUUACCCCCUGCUAAAGUAAGUGACUGUGUGAUGAGUUUCUCAUUAGUAUUCAUGUUCUUGCAAGUUUAUCUCUAGUCUAUGCCUUGAUAGAUUUUGCCCUUAUCUUAAUUUCAUUCCUUAUCCCCUUAAGCAAAAUUCUAAAUAACGAUACUUGGAAUACUUAUCCCGGUGAAAUGCUAC